GACGAACGCUGGCGGCGUGCUUAACACAUGCAAGUCGAACGGAAAGGCCCCUUUGGGGGUACUCGAGUGGGGCACGGGUGAGUAACACGUGAGUAACCUGCCCUUGACUUCGGGAUAACUUCAGGAAACUGGGGCUAAUACCGGCUAGGAAUCCUUGCUGCAUGGUGGGGGUUGGAAAGCUUCGGCGGUUUUGGAUGGACUCGCGGCUUAUCAGCUUGUUGGUGGGGUAGUGGCUUACCAAGGCUUUGACGGGUAGCCGGCCUGAGAGGGCGACCGGCCACAUUGGGACUGAGAUACGGCCCAGACUCCUACGGGAGGCAGCAGUGGGGAAGAUUGCACAAUGGGCGGAAGCCUGAUGCAGCAACGCCGCGUGCGGGAUGACGGCCUUCGGGUUGUAAACCGCUUUCAGCAGGGGCGAAGCUUGUGGUGACGUUACCUGCAGAAGAAGCACCGGCUAACUACGUG
rnacentral:rRNA from 1 species